UGUAGAUGUUGAUUAUCCCAGGCAAAUCCGGGAUAAGAGUCGAACCUGAUAGUAUACCAAUUUCCCCGGAAAACGGUAAUAGUGCGUGUAAACAUACUCCCAAGAAAAUCCGCUAAACUUAAUCUUAUAGGUACCCGUACCGUAAACGGACACACGUAGUCGGGUUGAAUAUACUCAGGCGCUUGAGUGAAUCACGGUUAAGGAACUAGGCAAAUUGACCCUGUAACUUCGGGAUAAAGGGUCCCUACCCGGUGACGGGAGGGCGCAGAGAAUAGGUCCAGGCAACUGUUUAACAAAAACACAGGGCUGUGCGAAAUUGAAAGAUGAAGUAUACAGCCUGACACCUGCCCGGUGCUGGAAGGUUAAGAGGAGAUGUCAUCGCAAGAGAAGCGUUGAAUUGAAGCCCCAGUAAACGGCGGCCGUAACUAUAACGGUCCUAAGGUAGCGAAAUUCCUUGUCGGGUAAGUUCCGACCUGCACGAAUGGUGUAAUGAUCUGGACACUGUCUCAACCGUGAGCUCAGUGAAAUUGUAGUAUCGGUGAAGAUGCCGAUUACCCGCGAUGGGACGAAAAGACCCCGUGAACCUUUACUAUAGCUUAACAUUGAAUUUGGGUAAUUGAUGUGUAGGAUAGGCCGGAGACUUUGAAGCAGGUACGCCAGUAUUUGUGGAGUCGCUGUUGAAAUACGGCCCUUUGGUUAUUUGAGUUCUAACUCGCUGAUGCGAGGACACUGUUUGGUGGGUAGUUUGACUGGGGUGGUCGCCUCCAAAAGCGUAACGGAGGCUUCUAAAGGUGCCCUCAGACCGAUUGGUAACCGGUCGCAGAGUGUAAUGGCAUAAGGGCGCUUGACUGGGAGAGAUACAACUCGAUCAGGUAGGAAACUAGAGCAUAGUGAUCCGGUGGUUCCGCAUGGAAGGGCCAUCGCUCAAAGGAUAAAAGGUACUCCGGGGAUAACAGGCUGAUCGCUCCCAAGAGCUCAUAUCGACGGAGCGGUUUGGCACCUCGAUGUCGGCUCGUCACAUCCUGGGGCUGGAGAAGGUCCCAAGGGUUGGGCUGUUCGCCCAUUAAAGUGGCACGCGAGCUGGGUUCAGAACGUCGUGAGACAGUUCGGUCCCUAUCUGUUGUGGGCGCAGGAAAUUUGAGGAGAACUGACACUAGUACGAGAGGACCGUGUUGGACAGACCGCUGGUUUAUCAGUUGUUCCGCCAGGGGCAUAGCUGAGUAUCUAAGUCUGGAAAGGAUAAGUGCUGAAAGCAUCUAAGUACGAAGCCAACUUCAAGAUUAGAUUUCCCUGAAGGGUCGUUGCAGACGACGACGUAGAUAGGUUGCAGAUGUAAAGGCGGUAACGUCAAAGUCGAGCAAUACUAAUCACCCGAGACUUUCCGCC
rnacentral:rRNA from 1 species